UUAGUGGAAGCGUCUGGAAAGGCGCGCGAUACAGGGUGACAGCCCCGUACACAAAAGCGCAUGUGCUGUGAGCUCGAUGAGUAGGGCGGGACACGUGGUAUCCUGUCUGAAUAUGGGGGGACCAUCCUCCAAGGCUAAAUACUCCUGACUGACCGAUAGUGAACCAGUACCGUGAGGGAAAGGCGAAAAGAACCCCGGCGAGGGGAGUGAAAAAGAACCUGAAACCGUGUACGUACAAGCAGUGGGAGCACCCUUUUGGGUGUGACUGCGUACCUUUUGUAUAAUGGGUCAGCGACUUAUAUUCUGUAGCAAGGUUAACCGUAUAGGGGAGCCGGAGGGAAACCGAGUCUUAAYYGGGCGUUAAGUUGCAGGGUAUAGACCCGAAACCCGGUGAUCUAGCCAUGGGCAGGUUGAAGGUUGGGUAACACUAACUGGAGGACCGAACCGACUAAUGUUGAAAAAUUAGCGGAUGACCUGUGGCUGGGGGUGAAAGGCCAAUCAAACCGGGAGAUAGCUGGUUCUCCCCGAAAGCUAUUUAGGUAGCGCCUCGUGAAYUCAUCUCCGGGGGUAGAGCACUGUUUCGGCUAGGGGGCCAUCCCGGCUU
rnacentral:rRNA from 1 species